GACGAACGCUGGCGGCGUGCUUACCACAUGCAAGUCGAACGGAAAGGCCCUGCUUUUGUGGGGUGCUCGAGUGGCGAACGGGUGAUUAACACGUGAGUAACCUGCCCUUGACUUUGGGAUAACUUCAGGAAACUGGGGCUAAUACCGGAUAGGAGCUCCGGCUGCAUGGUGGGGGUUGGAAAGUUUCGGCGGUUGGGGAUGGACUCGCGGCUUAUCAGCUUGUUGGUGGGGUAGUGGCUUACCAAGGCUUUGACGGGUAGCCGGCCUGAGAGGGUGACCGGCCACAUUGGGACUGAGAUACGGCCCAGACUCCUACGGGAGGCAGCAGUGGGGAAUAUUGCACAAUGGGCGGAAGCCUGAUGCAGCAACGCCGCGUGCGGGAUGACGGCCUUCGGGUUGUAAACCGCUUUCGCCUGUGACGAAGCGUGAGUGACGGUAAUGGGUAAAGAAGCACCGGCUAACUACGUG
rnacentral:rRNA from 1 species